rnacentral:rRNA from 1 species
AUGAUUACUAGUCAGUGUAAAGUAUCCUUCAUUGAUGUGAACUGUCAUAUAAUCCUUCACAACCUCCAUUAUGCGAAAGAACAGACACUUGCACAUCUAGUAGCGACGUCAAAAGAAGCCCUCAUGAUAUAUCUGGGCUUUGAAGUAGUAGUUGUAGAGAUCAUAUGGUCCUUUGUCCUAUUCCUAGUAACAAUUAUCCUGCCAAACGUUGAACCUAGGAAUGUGCUCCUUUUCCUUCUCCAUUGCUUCGAGGGUGCUCAUCAUCAUCAUCAUCAUCAUCAUCACCUAGUAGUAUGCCGUCAUUGGAUGAUAAUGAUGACACUACAAGGUGAUGACAAAUAA